GUGUGGGGCAGGGCAAGGACUCCGGUUCUGGGGCCAGUGGACAUGGGACUGAAUCCCAUCUCUCACAGACUCAUGCACCUUGAGCUGGCUCUUAUACAAUGAAGCUGGGUUGUUUUGGAACAGCCCUGAAGAUAUAUAUUUCCUCAGCCAGAACUCAAGACUACAAGAAGACAAAUAUACUGCUUUGAAGACACAUUUUUCCCAAUCAGCUUCUUCUGAUACGUAUUCUACAGAAGAACAGGGCACAGAGACUGGUCCACGGAUUCCUAAGAUUCUGGAACUGAAGAUCUUUGCCUCUUGAUUUGGUAGCUGUCAAUCAUCCAUCA